UUGUCUACGCUCCAAACUGCCGCCAGCAGCUACAGCAGCCACUCCAAGCCCUAAUGUGAAAUAAAUAGGUCUAAUAUUCAUUUAAAUUCAUACAAAUAAUAGGCAUUCAUAUAAUAAAGCUUAAUUUGAAGGGUGAUCACAAAAGAGAAUCUGGUGAAUGAAACGAAGAGCAUUAAAAGCAAUGUGUUCAUUGGAACACAAAUUGGAUGUUUGACUCGUGACUUUACAGGUCAAGAGGAGGCAGCGUGCAGACAAACUCAGAAUGGUGUCCUGCUCUGCAGUCGUUUGCAAAGGCAGUUGUUUCUGUUGCUGUCAAAGGAACUCCAAACUGGAACUCUCUUAAUUUCACCCUAACCUUGGUAUUUCACUUUGGUGUCUUAAUAACAAUCAAGCAUCUAGAUUUGAAUAUACUGUUGGCAAAGAUGAACUUGCAAUCACUGGCUUGAUGGAAACCAUCUCAAUCAUCUGAAGGCCCUGUGAAUAAAAUAUUUUUACUUGGAUGCUUUAAUUGUGAUAUAAAUAUGUAAGUGAAGUUUUACGUAGUUGUCAUGCUUGUAACAUUUUUGGUGAUGACAGGGAAAGUUGACAUAUCUGGAGAAACAAAAUGUGAUCUGUCCUAUUUACCUUGCUGGGUCUGACAAUUUAUGUAAUAUUGGUAAGCUGAUCUCCAUGAAAGAACAACUGAAACAAAAGCAAAAUGACGACUAUGAGGAACACAAUUUCCUGCCUAAAUAAAUCAAUUUCAGUUUUCCGUUCACUGUGAGAUGUAGCUGAUUCCUUCCUGGAAUUGUUAACUAAAUUAACCUUCAGUCUACUCUGGCAUAACAAUGUUUAUUUGACUAUAAAACAGGUUGCCAAUACAAGACCGAGUUCUACCAUUGAACCAAUGCAGGGGAGUACAAAAAAUACAUUUUGGAAAAGUGGCAAAAAUCUAUUAAAUGGGAGCAGUAUUUAGAAUUGUCCACUCUUGCAAUGGUUUUACAGCUUGAACUGCAGCCAAGGAAUGGUUGUUUUUAUGUCAAUCCUUGUUUUAGGAUAACUACCGCAAGCUUGUACUGCCUGCUGUUAAACAUCUGUUGAUGUAUUGACAAAUAAUAAUCAAGAUAUCUAUUAAUAUUCUUCUCUGUGAAAAUAUUUAGUAAUGUGUCCUAUUCUUCUGUAUGUGAAAAAUCUGCAAUUUUCAGAACAAUUAAAGUUCAGUCAGCCAUUUACUACAACACAACCAGAGGGAAGUUUUAAGAUGAGAGCAAAUUGCUCUUUGCACACUGGUCUCACCAUAUUAUCAUCGAACACACAAGGUUAAAAAGUCCAUGGAAACACAGUAAAAAUGAUUAUUGACUAUAAAAAUGACAUCAGGAGCAGAUUCAUGAGAAGCAUAAAUACUGAUAAGGCUAAAAUAGCUGGUUUCUGUGCUGUAAAUUUUGUAUA